rnacentral:rRNA from 1 species
GACGAACCGAGCGAACGUUGUUCGGAAUCACUGGGCUUAAAGGGCGCGUAGGCGGACCGUCAAGUCCGGGGUGAAAUCUUUCGGCUCAACCGGAAAAGUGCCUUGGAUACUGACGGUCUCGAGGGAGGUAGGGGCAGGCGGAACUUCCGGUGGAGCGGUGAAAUGCGUUGAUAUCGGAGGAACACCGGUGGCGAAGGCGGCCACCUGGUCCGGCACUGACGCUGUAGCGCGAAAGCGUGGGGAGCAAACAGG